CAAGACCUUGCGCUUUUGGAGCGGCCGAUGUCUGAUUAGCUAGUUGGAGGGGUAAUGGCUUACCAAGGCUUCGAUCAGUAGCUGGUCUGAGAGGACGACCAGCCACACUGGGACUGAGACACGGCCCAGACUCCUACGGGAGGCAGCAGUGGGGAAUUUUGGACAAUGGGGGAAACCCUGAUCCAGCCAUGCCGCGUGAGUGAAGAAGGCCUUCGGGUUGUAAAGCUCUUUCAGCCGGAACGAAGUGGUCAUGGUUAACACCCGUGACAAAUGACGGUACCGGAAGAAGAAGCACCGGCUAACUAUGUGCCAGCAGCCGCGGUAAUACGUAGGGUGCAAGCGUUAAUCGGAAUUACUGGGCGUAAAGCGUGCGCAGGCGGUUUUGUAAGUCAGAUGUGAAAUCCCCGGGCUUAACCUGGGAACUGCGUUUGAAA
rnacentral:rRNA from 1 species